AGCGAACGCUGGCGGCAGGCCUAACACAUGCAAGUCGAACGAACUCUUCGGAGUUAGUGGCGGACGGGUGAGUAACACGUGGGAACGUGCCUUUUGGUUCGGAAUAACUCAGGGAAACUUGUGCUAAUACCGAAUGUGCCCUUCGGGGGAAAGAUUUAUCGCCAUUAGAGCGGCCCGCGUCUGAUUAGCUAGUUGGUGAGGUAACGGCUCAACAAGGCGACGAUCAGUAGCUGGUUUGAGAGGAUGACCAGCCACACUGGGACUGAGACACGGCCCAGACUCCUACGGGAAGCAGCAGUGGGGAAUCUUGCGCAAUGGGCGAAAGCCUGACGCAGCCAUGCCGCGUGAAUGAUGAAGGUCUUAGGAUUGUAAAAUUCUUUCACCGGGGACGAUAAUGACGGUACCCGGAGAAGAAGCCCCGGCUAACUUCGUG
rnacentral:rRNA from 1 species